UAAUUGUACUUUAGGGAAGAAAUUUUGACCCUGGGAAUUAUCCUAGUCUUGCAGGUGAGCAGUAGAAGACACUAUAGAGUCACCGACCGGCAUCUUGGUGAGGAAAGCAGACAGGCAGGCACUAACAAGCUUCGGAAUAAGGCCUGAAGAGUAACAGUACGGUAAUUUUGAAAUUGAAAGCCCCACUCUGAACCAGGGUGCUUAAUUGUAUAUUCGGCUUGUUUCUUGUAGAAUCAUUGAGUUGCAACAAACCCGAGUAAUGAAUUGUUUGUCAAGACAAAUCAUCAUUAGCCUUAUAAACAAUCCAUGAAUUGGUUGUCAGCCAAUCUGCACCAACACAAUUAAACCAGUCACAACCCAAACAAUUGUUGUGGUUUCAUCGAGUUUGAAGCUCCACAGCAAACGAAGCAACAAAUGAAACAUGUGCAUGAAUUAUGAAUAGUACAGCUAAGCAAAUUCAGAUCAAGUGAACCUACCAAAAGAGAAUUAAAAGAGUUGUUAGGUAAAGUACAAUUGAAGUGGGUAUUUAACUGAUUGUAAUCCUUCCAACAUUUUGAUUCAUACUACAUAGUAUUUUUGUAUGACAGAUGUUUAUUAACCUAAAGUUGGCUCAAUGAUGAAUAGCUAGAAUCUAUGUUUAUUUAUUUAUACCCUCUAGUUGGGUAAGUACGUAAUAGACAAUAUAAGAUGUAUAUGUGAAUCAGAGAGUCAGAAGUAUGUUGUUAGUUUAUUUUAAAAUUCCCUAAAAAAAUAAAUCUUUCCUUGAUGAUACCACUGACAUGAUUUAAACACAUAGGUUUUCCCCCAUACUUAUAUAUGCUUCAUCAACACAUACUUCAAAUAUUAGAAUCACAUGCUUUUCUAACAUCAGCUUCUAAUAUGAGUUCCAAGCCACAAAAAAGGUAAGCAAGUAUAGGUUGGGAAAAAACAAUGAAAUCAUAUUCUGAAUUUGGAGUUGACUUUUUACUAAAUUUUGAAUCAAAUGCAGUACAUUGGCUAUGUUGUACAUAGGUGCGCAUAAUUUUUUUUAGAACAACUCAAAUAAACUACAUAUAUUAUUUACUAAUAUAUUACUAAAUAACCCCUGCUAGUGUGAUUUUUUUAGGCUCUUCAGUGCUCAGCUUUAGAUAAAAAGGUGUUCCCAAGUUUUAAAUUUUACAAAGAAAGUGGCAUCAUUGUGAUGAUCGUGUUUGUAGGUCUUCCUGAACAUCACGUGCUCUAUUUUCUAAUUUAUCAAGAAAAAGGGUUUAAUCCAUAUAUCUUUGGCAUUAUAGAAGUAUUGAUAUCAACUUGUAUUUGAUUUGGCACUAUAAUCGAGUAUUUAAUUAUUGAGCCUAAACGGAUGGCUACCUAAAAGAACCAAUUGCUUGAGUAGGCCAAAAAAAAGAAGCAACUAAAUUUGAUAACAUUAGAAACAAGGUUAUGGUUUGAUGUGGUAACUAAUUUACCGGCUUUUAGCAACAGAUCCUACUAAAUCAAACCAUUUUAAUUAAAUUAAGUAUAAACCAUUUUAAUUAAACUAAGUAUCAUCUUGCAAUAAAAGCCUAGCCAACAUAGAGUAAUAUGCAAAUGAGAUUCAUGUAGAUGUCGAGUGCAAAAGUUAUCAGAAAUGAUUUAGCAGAUCAUCAUCCAUUGUUUACUAUAAGAGCAUGGACAAUAUAAAGAAGAGCCAAAAAAAUGUAGAAACACCGCAAAAAUAAUAUGUCUAAUGAAGGGAAUAGUUUGAUUCACCAGGUAACCAUUUAAAAAGCUAGAACAGACAAUAGCUACAACUUAUAAAUUAUCUAGGCUGGUCAUGUUCUUCCUCUUCUUCUGACAAAGUUUUGAUUUACCAUGCUAUUAAGAUUGAAAAAGAAAAUAGUAUUAAAUAGACUAUUCAUAAAAUGGGGUAAGGAUACAUUCAAUUUAGAUAAUAAGUUUUCGUCAAAAUAACUUUUUUUCUAAAUGAAAGGAGGUGCAAUGACAAAGUUUGACUAUCUCUAAAUGCAAACUUUAGAAUCAAAUCAUUACUUUAUCUUUAAAAACAAUUUCUAUUUGCACAUUCCUAUAAACUGCUCAGUAGAAUGCUCUACAAGGCCAAAAUUUAUCUAUUUUAGUGUUAUUAGAAACAACUAAUUCAUUUUUGUUAAAUGAAUAACAAGUUGUUGUCUUUGCAGUUUUCUUGUUCUCUCGACAUAGGGUCCUUGUUUUUCUUUAUCUCAUUUCUUAUAAAAUGAUCAAACAUUCCAAAUUUUAGUUGCUCACAAAGCAUCAUUGUUGCUGCUAAAACCUUUAAUCUUACUUUUUCCUAGGUUUAUUUUGUUUUCUGAAUUUUUCUAAGAUUCUUUUUGUUGUCUGAAUUUUAUUUUUCUAGAACUAUUGGGCAAGGAGGCAAUAUUACUGAUUACUAAGCUAAUUGCAUUGUUGCAUGAUAAUAUAGGGUUUUAGUUCUUUCUUUUAGGGGAAAAUGGAAGUUGAAUCUUGCAGUUGUACGAGGGGAGAAAAGGAAGUUUAUUCUUUCAAACAAAUAGAGAGACGGCGGUGGCUAACUAGGGUGUGGAAGAAGAGGCGGCAGACCUUGCAUAGAGGAGGAGGCAGCGAUGCACAUGGCAUAUGGCGGCGGCGACUGACCAGGGGAAAAUGCAGCUAUACCUCCUUAUGUUGUUUCACUAUGCAAAUGUGAUGUUCUCCAGCCAAAAUGUUUGCCAAUCUGCAACCAAAUUAUCCUAGAGCUGAACUGAUUGACAUGCGGAAUUAGAUUGACAACUUGUGGUUUCAGAACUUCAAACAUAUUACAAAAUUGCUUUUAUUCGCAGUUAUUAUUAUUUCACAUUUCUAUAUAUGUACUAAUAUCUUUAUUUAUGAAGUGAAAAGCUCUCUAGCCUUGAGUACAAGUUGUGGCUUCCCAGGACAUAGAGGAGGUGGCAAACAGGGAAUGGAGGCAUCUGAUCCGGUGGUGAAGAGAGGGCGGCGCAGAGGGUGGCGGGGCGUGGUAGGG
rnacentral:lncRNA from 1 species